rnacentral:rRNA from 1 species
AUUGAACGCUGGCGGCAUGCCUUACACAUGCAAGUCGAACGGUAACAGGUCUUCGGACGCUGACGAGUGGCGAACGGGUGAGUAAUGCAUCGGAACGUGCCCAGUCGUGGGGGAUAACUGCUCGAAAGAGCAGCUAAUACCGCAUACGACCUGAGGGUGAAAGCGGGGGACCGUAAGGCCUCGCGCGAUUGGAGCGGCCGAUGUCAGAUUAGCUAGUUGGUGGGGUAAGGGCCUACCAAGGCAACGAUCUGUAGUUGGUCUGAGAGGACGACCAGCCACACUGGGACUGAGACACGGCCCAGACUCCUACGGGAGGCAGCAGUGGGGAAUUUUGGACAAUGGGCGCAAGCCUGAUCCAGCAAUGCCGCGUGCAGGAAGAAGGCCUUCGGGUUGUAAACUGCUUUUGUCAGGAAAGAAAUCUUCUGGGCUAAUACCCCGGGAGGAUGACGGUACCUGAAGAAUAAGCACCGGCUAACUACGUG